GGGGGGGGCAAGCGUUGUUCGGAAUUACUGGGCGUAAAGGGCUCGUAGGUGGCCAACUAAGUCAGACGUGAAAUCCCCAGGCUCAACUUGGGAACUGCGUCUGAUACUGGAUGGCUUGAAUUCGGGAGAGGGAUGCAGAAUUCCAGGUGUAGCGGUGAAAUGCGUAGAUAUCUGGAGGAAUACCGGUGGCGAAGGCGGCAUCCUGGACCGAGAUUGACACUGAGGAGCGAAAGCCAGGGGAGCAAACGGGAUUAGAUACCCCGGUAGUCCUGGCCCUAAACGAUGAAUGCUUGGUGUGACGGGUAUCGAUCCCUGUCGUGCCGAAGCUAACGCAUUAAGCAUUCCGCCUGGGGAGUACGGUCGCAAGGCUG
rnacentral:rRNA from 1 species